rnacentral:rRNA from 1 species
UACGUAGGGUGCAAGCGUUAAUCGGAAUUACUGGGCGUAAAGCGUGCGCAGGCGGUUUUGUAAGUCUGUCGUGAAAUCCCCCGGGCUUAACCUGGGAAUUGCGAUGGAGACUGCAAGGCUGGAGUCUGGCAGAGGGGGAUGGAAUUCCGCGUGUAGCAGUGAAAUGCGUAGAUAUGCGGAGGAACACCGAUGGCGAAGGCAAUCCCCUGGGCCUGCACUGACGCUCAUGCACGAAAGCGUGGGGAGCAAACAGG